rnacentral:rRNA from 1 species
AACGAACGCUGGCGGCAGGCCUAACACAUGCAAGUCGAGCGAGACCUUCGGGUCUAGCGGCGGACGGGUUAGUAACGCGUGGGAACGUGCCCUUCUCUGCGGAAUAGCCACUGGAAACGGUGAGUAAUACCGCAUACGCCCUUCGGGGAAAGAUUUAUCGGAGAAGGAUCGGCCCGCGUUAGAUUAGAUAGUUGGUGGGUAACGGCCUACCAAGUCUACGAUCUAUAGCUGGUUUUAGUAGGAUGAUCAGCAACACUGGGACUGAGACACGGCCCAGACUCCUACGGGAGGCAGCAGUGGGGAAUCUUAGACAAUGGGCGCAAGCCUGAUCUAGCCAUGCCGCGUGUGUGAUGAAGGUCUUAGGAUCGUAAAGCACUUUCGCCAGGGAUGAUAAUGACAGUACCUGGUAAAGAAACCCCGGCUAACUCCGUG